UAGUUUAUUCUCUCUUUCAAUUUUUUUUUUUUUUUUAUAUGUAACCUUGGCUGUCCUGGAACUUGCUAUAUGGAUAAAGCCGGCCUCCACUCCAUGGAGAUCUCUUUGCCUCUGCCACCUGAGUGCCGGGACUAGAGGUGUAUACCACCACACAUGGCUUCGUGUGUUCAUUCUCUGGUUGACCAGAAGUCCUCAUCUUAGGUCCAUUGCCAUCUAUGGAUGGGCUCUAGGGUUGGGCCACUGAAUUCGCCUGGACCAUUUUGACGUAGUGUUUUAUUCUUAGGGAAGGGGACCAUAGGUUCUAUGCUCCAGAAGGGCCAUGUGUGUUCCAGGCAGGACUUCCUAUUCCCCAGAACACAUGGGAGAAACCCAGGCAGAAGUGUGGUGAACUCCAGCUAGGUGAUGAGGUCACAAGCACAGAAUCUUUGCAUGUGGCAUCGGUGGUCUCAGAAGAGAGCAAGAGAGCCAUCUGUACAACAGGGGAUGGAUGGCCCAGACACCACGCCUGCCAACUUGGACUCCGGCUUCCAAAGCUAGGAGAAACGAGCUGUUGUUUUGAAAAAGGUCAUCUAGCUUAGGACGUUUUGUUACAGCACACUGAGGACCGGGGCAGCUUUCCUCCUGUGUGCCUCAGGAUGUCACUGGACUACACCAUGUGGCUUCUAAUCUUUCCAGGAAACCUGUGACUUACAGGCCCUGGGAUGGGGAUAGGGAGGCCAAUGGGCCUCAGCUGGACCAGUCCUAUUUUCACAGCUCUUACAAUCUGGGCUCUUGUGAGAGAUUUGAUUUUAAAAAACAGGUCUAGGCUUUUACUUUU